GACGAACGCUGGCGGCGUGCCUAACACAUGCAAGUCGAACGGUAAGGCCCUUCGGGGUACACGAGUGGCGAACGGGUGAGUAACACGUGGGUGAUCUGCCCUGCACUUCGGGAUAAGCCUGGGAAACUGGGUCUAAUACCGGAUAGGACCACUGCCUGCAUGGGUGGUGGUGGAAAGCUUUUGCGGUGUGGGAUGGGCCCGCGGCCUAUCAGCUUGUUGGUGGGGUGAUGGCCUACCAAGGCGACGACGGGUAGCCGGCCUGAGAGGGUGACCGGCCACACUGGGACUGAGAUACGGCCCAGACUCCUACGGGAGGCAGCAGUGGGGAAUAUUGCACAAUGGGCGCAAGCCUGAUGCAGCGACGCCGCGGGAGGGAUGACGGCCUUCGGGUUGUAAACCUCUUUCAGCACCGACGAAGCGCAAGUGACGGUAGGUGCAGAAGAAGGACCGGCCAACUACGUGCCAGCAGCCGCCGUAA
rnacentral:rRNA from 1 species